GACGAACGCUGGCGGCGUGCUUAACACAUGCAAGUCGAACGAAGUGGCGAACGGGUGAGUAACGCGUAAUCAACCUGCCCUUCAGAGGGGGACAACAGUUGGAAACGACUGCUAAUACGGCAUACGGAAGGAGGGGAUUGCGUCUGAUUGGCUAGGUGGAGGGGUAACGGCCCAACAAGGCGAUGGUCAGUAGGCGGGUUGAGGGGAGGAACGGCCACAUUGGGACUGAGACACGGGCCAGACUCCUACGGGAGGGAGCAGGGGGGAAUCUUUCGCAAUGGACGAAAGUCUGACGGGGCAACUCCGCGUGAGUGAAGACGGCCUUCGGGUUGUAAAGCUCUGUUAAUCGGGACGCGGUACCGGAAUAGAAAGCCACGGCUAACUACGUGCCAGCAGCCGCGGUAAUUC
rnacentral:rRNA from 1 species